UGAUUACAGGGUAGCAAUAUUCUGUAGUCGGAGCGGCGCAAGGGUGCGUAACACGUGGGUAAUCUGCCAUGAAGUUUGGAAUAACUCGCUGAAAGGCGAGCUAAUGCCGGAUGUGAAAGCUGGGAGGCAUCUCUUGGUUUUCAAAGCUGGGGACCGUAAGGCCUGGCGCUUCAUGAUGAGCCCGCGGCCUAUCAGCUAGUUGGUAAGGUAACGGCUUACCAAGGCUAAGACGGGUAGCUGGUCUGAGAGGACGACCAGCCACACUGGAACUGAGACACGGUCCAGACACCUACGGGUGGCAGCAGUCGAGAAUUUUUCACAAUGGGCGCAAGCCUGAUGGAGCGACGCCGCGUGGGGGAUGAAUGGCUUCGGCCCGUAAACCCCUGUCAUUUGCGAUCAACCGUUAUUGUUUAAGAGAUGAUAACCUGAUAGUAGCGAAAGAGGAAGGGACGGCUAACUCUGUGCCAGCAGCCGCGGUAAUACAGAGGUCCCAAGCGUUGUUCGGAUUCACUGGGCGUAAAGGGUGCGUAGGUGGCAAGGUAAGUCGGAUGUGAAAUCUCCGAGCUCAACUCGGAAAUGGCAUUGGAAACUGCUUUGCUUGAGGGUUGGAGGGGGGACUGGAAUACUUGGUGUAGCAGUGAAAUGCGUAGAUAUCAAGUGGAACACCAGUGGCGAAGGCGAGUCCCUGGACAACUCCUGACACUGAGGCACGAAAGCUAGGGGAGCAAGCAGGAUUAGAUACCCUGGUAGUCCUAGCUGUAAACGGUGCACGUUUGCUGUAAAAGGAAUCGACCCCUUUUGUGGCGUAGCUAACGCGUUAAACGUGCCGCCUGGGAAGUACGGUCGCAAGAUUAAACUCA
rnacentral:rRNA from 1 species